GCCAGAUGUGGUGGCACAUGCCUGUAAUACCUGCUCCUAGGGAAGCUGAGACUGUUGGAUUCCUUGAGCUUGGGAGUUCUGAGCUGCAGGGGCUAAGGACGUCUACACUAAGCCUGGCCAUGGCAGAGGCCUAGGAGGCUGCCUAAACAGAGGCAAACUGACCGAGGUCAGAAGAGGAGCAGGUCACAGUUCCUUUAUUGAUCAGUAGUGGGAUUGAAUGCGUGAGUGGCCGCUGCACUUCCAGCCUAGGUGAGAUAGAGAGACCCAGUCUACC
rnacentral:SRP_RNA from 1 species